UUGCCAGUUACUACGUUAAGAGGACUCUGGCGAGACUGCCGUUGACAAAACGGAGGAAGGUGGGGAUGACGUCAAAUCAUCAUGCCCUUUAUGACCUGGGCUACACACGUACUACAAUGGCGUUAAACAAAGAGAAGCAAGACCGCGAGGUGGAGCAAAACUCAAAAACAACGUCUCAGUUCAGAUUGCAGGCUGCAACUCGCCUGCAUGAAGUCGGAAUUGCUAGUAAUCGCGGAUCAGCAUGCCGCGGUGAAUACGUUCCCGGGCCUUGUACACACCGCCCGUCACACCAUGAGAGCCGGGGGGACCCGAAGUCGAUAGUCUAACCGCAAGGAGGACGUCGCCGAAGGUAAAACUGGUGAUUGGGGUGAAGUCGUAACAAGGUAGCCGUAUCGGAAGGUGCGGCUGGAUCACCUCCUUU
rnacentral:rRNA from 1 species